rnacentral:rRNA from 1 species
AACGCCAAGAACCUUACCUGGGCUUGACAUGUAAUGAACAACAUGUGAAAGCAUGCGACUCUUCGGAGGCGUUACACAGGUGCUGCAUGGCCGCCGUCAGCUCGUGUCGUGAGAUGUUUGGUUAAGUCCAGCAACGAGCGCAACCCCUGUUGCCAGUUACCAGCACGUGAAGGUGGGGACUCUGGCGAGACUGCCCAGAUCAACUGGGAGGAAGGUGGGGACGACGUCAGGUCAGUAUGGCCCUUAUGCCCAGGGCUGCACACGUACUACAAUGCCCAGUACAGAGGGGGCCGAAGCCGCGAGGCGGAGGAAAUCCUAAAAACUGGGCCCAGUUCGGACUGUAGGCUGCAACCCGCCUACACGAAGCCGGAAUCGCUAGUAAUGGCGCAUCAGCUACGGCGCCGUGAAUACGUUCCCGGGCCUUGUACACACCG